rnacentral:rRNA from 1 species
GAUGAACGCUGGCGGCGUGCCUAAUACAUGCAAGUCGAGCGAAUGGAUUAAGAGCUUGCUCUAUGAAGUUAGCGGCGGACGGGUGAGUAACACGUGGGUAACCUGCCCAUAAGACUGGGAUAACUCCGGGAAACCGGGGCUAAUACCGGAUAACAUUUUGAACCGCAUGGUUCGAAAUUGAAAGGCGGCUUCGGCUGUCACUUAUGGAUGGACCCGCGUCGCAUUAGCUAGUUGGUGAGGUAACGGCUCACCAAGGCAACGAUGCGUAGCCGACCUGAGAGGGUGAGCGGCAACCCUGGGACUGAGACACGGCCCAGACUCCUCAGGGAGGCAGCAGUAGGGAAUCUUCCGCAAUGGACGAAAGUCUGACGGAGCAACGCCGCGUGAGUGAUGAAGGCUUUCGGGUCGUAAAACUCUGUUGUUAGGGAAGAACAAGUGCUAGUUGAAUAAGCUGGCACCUUGACGGUACCUAACCAGAAAGCCACGGCUAACUACGUGCCAGCCGCCGCCGUAA